AUUGAACGCUGGCGGCAUGCCUUACACAUGCAAGUCGAACGGCAGCACGGGAGCAAUCCUGGUGGCGAGUGGCGAACGGGUGAGUAAAGCAUCGGAACAUGCCCAGUCGUGGGGGAUAACGUAGCGAAAGUUACGCUAAUACCGCAUACGAUCUAUGGAUGAAAGCGGGGGACCGUAAGGCCUCGCGCGAUUGGAGUGGCCGAUGUCAGAUUAGGUAGUUGGUGGGGUAAAAGCCUACCAAGCCGACGAUCUGUAGCUGGUCUGAGAGGACGACCAGCCAAACUGGGACUGAGACACGGCCCAGACUCCUACGGGAGGCAGCAGUGGGGAAUUUUGGACAAUGGGCGCAAGCCUGAUCCAGCCAUGCCGCGUGCGGGAAGAAGGCCUUCGGGUUGUAAACCGCUUUUGUUUGGGAGCAAAUCCUACGGGUUAAUACCCUGUGGGGAUGGGAGUACCAAAAGAAUCAGCACCGGCUAACUACGUGCCAGCCGCCGCGGUAACAC
rnacentral:rRNA from 1 species